CUCAUCUUGGCUGCCAGGGUCCUCCAUUAUGGGGACACACUUAGCAUGGAUAGCACUCUGGACUCCUAACAUCACCUUAGUGGCCAUCAAAACAUUCCUCAAGGCCCCACACUCUUGGAAACUCUCCUCUCCACUCUGGAACAGUGAGUGUUAAUAACCUUCCUCUGGGCAGCCAGGUCUGAUGAAGGUGGGGAAGUCUCACCUAGAAUAGUCCCAGCUCCUCCCUGGAAUUUGGCGUCCUCACCUGUCGGCUAGGGAGAACGAUCCUAGCCCUGCGAUCUCAUGAAACUGUCAGGAGAACAAAUGGAUGUGGAGUCAAUUUAAAAUGCAAAAAGAAUCCCAUGAGGGUCAGAGUGACAGGGCCAUCGUGAAUAGUGGAGCAGGUUGUGCACUGUACAACGUGGGAUAGCCCCAUUUAUAUUUUCCUACAAGCAAUCUGCACAAAGGAACGAGUGCAGCAGCCCCAGAUUGGGCGAUGCUACUGACAACUGUAAAGCGACAGGCACAUAGAAGUGCUGCAUGUACAAUGCGACCUUCAAUGCUGUCUGAUUGCUCAACUGCCGACCGAUUCCAGAUGCUGCUGCUGAUAAGCCCCUCAGGGUAAUGCAGCUGGCUCAGAAGACAUGGCUCUGCAUGGCAAUUGUUAGGCUUCCUUGAAAAUGAGGCCCAGAGUACUCAUCACUGGAAUACUACUCAUCAAGGAAAAUGAACAAAUCACAGCCAUACUCAACAGCUCAGAGAUAUCUGAAAAAAAAAAAAAAAAACCUGAGGUCAUCUUUGAAGUCUCUGCCAACCAAAGUGAUGGUGGCUGGCUGCCUUGCUGUAGCAAGAUCUAACUGCACCUCCUCUGUGCUCCCGUUGAUGCCGUAAAGGGUCAUAAAGAUGUUGGAGUCUGUGCCCCCGCCGACCACAUCACCUGUCCACACGGUCAUUUCAUAAAGCACCUGCCAUGAGAGGAAUGCAGAUCCUGAGCUUUGGCCUCAUCCACCAACCCGCCAGACCCGUCUUGGUCUCAGCAAGGAAAGAAGCUAUGCUCACCAAGCUUCCUGGCUCUGAAAAGACACCCUACCCAAUCAAUUGUAAAUGUCUGAAGAGCUAGAGUCAGGCCUUCUCACUCCU